AAUCCCUCCCACCUGCUCGCCGCCUCCAUGCCACGCGCGCCUCGUCCUCUCCCAGCUGCUCCUGGUCGCCGGUCUCGACGCUGCGGCUGGAUACGGGGAUUUCUCCGCGUCCUCAUGCCCCUUCCACGGCGGCUACUACGGGGAGCACCACCACCAUUAACGCGACGAGAUCCAGCGGCUGCUACCGGAGGAACUGGCCGAGGAGGCAGAUCGCUCGACCUCGGUUCCAUCGAUCUUCAAGGUGCUUUGCUCGAUCGCUUGGCCUCGUUUUUGUCGAUCGGCAAGGUUCUUCGCUUGACUGGAUUGUAGGUUGGCUUGUGUGCUACUUGCCGAGUGUGAUAUAGAAAUGAUUGGGGCCUUCCAAUUUGGUGCUGAAAUUUAAGCAGCCACUUCAAUUUAGUGCUAUUCGGCACUGAGAUGCAAUGUAACCAAUUACAGAGCUAUAAUUCAUGGUAGACGAAAAUCGCAGAAUGGCGCAUGUUAUGAUUAAUCAACUCAUGGGCUUCCUAACGAUGUAUUAUUGGGUCAUUUGUGUAGGGUUUAACAUGCCCAUGGGAGUCAAUCAGGCGAUCCUGUGGCUUCCUUCUUAUUCACCUGACCACAUUCGAUGGAUGUCCGGGAGUGGUUCCGGCUAGAUGG